rnacentral:rRNA from 1 species
GACGAACCGUGCGAACGUUGUUCGGAAUCACUGGGCUUAAAGGGCGCGUAGGCGGGUUUUCAAGUCUGUGGUGAAAUCCUCCAGCUUAACUGGAGAAGUGCCGUGGAUACUGGAGACCUCGAGGAGGGUAGGGGCAUCUGGAACAGCCGGUGGAGCGGUGAAAUGCGUUGAUAUCGGCUGGAACUCCGAUGGCGAAGGCAAGGUGCUGGACCCUCUCUGACGCUGAGGCGCGAAAGCUAGGGGAGCAAACGGG